AACGAACGCUGGCGGCGCGCCUAAUACAUGCAAGUCGAACGAGAAGCUGUAGCAAUACAGUUGUACAGUGGCGAACGGGUGAGGAAUACAUGGGUGACCUACCCUCGAGUGGGGAAUAACCAGCCGAAAGGUUGGCUAAUACCGCGUACGCUUCCCAGUCUACGGGUUGGGAAGGAAAGCGAUGCCGUGGGUAUCGCGCUCAAGGUUGGGCUCAUGUCCUAUCAGCUGUUGGUGGGGCAACGGCUCACCAAGGCAACGACGGGUAGCUGGUCUGAGAGGACGAUCAGCCACACUGGCACUGCGACACGGGCCAGACUCCUACGGGAGGCAGCAGUAAGGAAUAUUGCGCAAUGGGCGAAAGCCUGACGCAGCGACGCCGCGUGGGGGAUGAAGGUCUU
rnacentral:rRNA from 1 species